rnacentral:misc_RNA from 1 species
UUCGCGAUUGCUUUGGUGUCUUGUACACACGCAGCUCACUAGAAAUCAAUUACUUCUAGGUUAUGGUUAUUUGUACUUCUUGCUUUUUCUGCCUUGCGGAAAAUGCUGCAUUUAAUAAGCGGCUAUUGAGCACGGAAGCAUGGGAUUCCCCUUACCUUAAAUCGUUGUGAUGUAAUUUUUCUCCGCAUUGUCGGGAAGUUUCAGAUUAUGUGAGACGUGCCAGUCUCGGAUAAGAGAAGCGCUCAGUCUCAAUAUAUGUACAGUGCUGUUAGUGCGAGCUGUUACCUGUUACUGAUUUCACAAUAAAAUAGUGUGUUGCUUUUGCAGUGUGUGAACAAUAAUUGCACUUGGCGACGCCAAUUUCAUUCGAGUUUGCCAUGGCGUUUAUGGACCAAAUAAACAGUGUUUCCAUGGAGAGUAAUGCAGUACAUGAUGAUCCUAUUGAUUUGUGUCUUGGGCACUAUAAUCCAGCAGGUGAUAACGAGAAGAUGGAUGCUUGCUUUUCAGCAUUUGACAAAAAUGGGGAUGGACUUAUUGAUAAAGGUGAAUUUGCAAGCAUAUGCAGAACACUUUUCCGAAAUGACAGAGGCUUUAUAUACAAUAUUGAGCAACCACAGAUUGAAGAAAUGCAUGCUGUCUUUGAUUUAAAUAAGGAUGGUUAUAUUGACAGAGAAGAGUUCAUAUUUUGCUGGGAUCGUUGGAUGAAGAAGAUUGUUCGCCCUGUGAGUGUGUUUUUGAUUGUUGAUGUCCAAAACGACUUUAUUUCGGGGUCUUUGAACAUUAGUCACUGCUCAGCCAAGCAGAAUGGAGCCGAGGUUAUCGAACCAAUAAAUAAGUUGCUGGAUACAGUCAAGUUUGAUGCUGUGUUUUAUUCCUUGGAUUGGCAUCCAAGUGAUCAUGUUUCUUUCAUUGAUAACUUGAGCCAGAGGAAAGUUCAUCCAUCAAGUCCUGUGUCAGCAGAGGAAGCACAAACAUAUGACACAGUUAUAUUUGAAGGCCCUCCACUUAUGAAGCAACGACUGUGGCCACGGCACUGUGUCCAAGAUUCAUGGGGUGCUGAAUUGCACAAAGAUUUGAAAAUUGUGGAAAAUGCUAUCAAAAUUUACAAAGGCACCAAUCCUGAAGUUGAUUCUUAUUCAGUGUUUUGGGAUAAUAAAAAACUAGCAGAUACAACAUUGUUCUCUGAAUUGAAACAGAGAAAUGCGACUGACAUUUACAUAUGUGGUCUGGCCUAUGACGUUUGUGUAGGUCGGAAUAUAGUUGAGAGUAUAAACUGGAGUAUACGUGUUAAGUAUUGAGAAAUUCAGUUGUGGAACUGUGCUGUUGUACUGCAAAUAUUGUCCAGUGAUGCUGACGUGAACCCGGAGAAUAUAGGAUUCCAUAGUUACAGUGAAUCAACAACAAGGCUGCAAAUCACCUGUAAGGGGCAACAGCCGCUGAUUCAUUAGCUAUUGGAUACCGAACUAUUCUGAUUGAUGACUGUUGUCGUGGAGUUGAUCUGAGAGAUAUUGAGAAGACUAGAAACACAGUCACAUCAAACAAU